rnacentral:miRNA from 1 species
UCCACUGUUGCGUUUUUCAUACGUACGUAUACGCACGUAAAACUUUAAAUCCGUUUAAAUGUUACUUAUGAAAUAACCAAAUAAAUAAAGCAACAGACUUUAGUGUUCCGCAAGUUUUAGUAUGCAUUUGUUAACUUAUUUGUAAAAUAUUUAAAAAUAGAAGGAUUCAAAGUUUUACGUGCGUGUACGUGCGUACGAAAAACGCAACAGUGGA